UUCUCACCCUCCUCAUCUGACCUCCCGUGUGAUAUUUGGUAACAAACAAGUAAGUCCGUGUCUUUAUCUCUUUGUUGUACGUGCUUAUAUGGUGAUGACUGUAAAGCAUUCUGCUAAGUAUUAAGUGGCAAAAGUGGUCAUAACUGUAUAUAUCUAAUAAGACCCUUGACAGAAUCACUUAAAGCAGAGUCUAUAUUUCUCAGUCUAUAUUUUUUCGUAGUUGCCCCUAAAAAGCACACCCCCUUUUUUCCUUCUAUGUUUUUUAGUUUUCUUCUUCUUCUUUUUUUUUUUUUUAGUUCCCAAAGUGUCCACCUUUUCAGAUCAUGUACCCAUUAGGCUAACUGCCUUAGGAAUCCUCUAGUUCUUGAAAAUAAGAGCUAAGAAGUUUUCAUAUCCCCCUCUUCUCAGAUUUGUGAAAUACAUUUGUCAUAAUGGCUGACUUUUGACACAGAUGACAUCAUUUUACCAUCAUAAUAGAAUUUAGAAUUCUGUCAAUAUAGAAGAGAUGCUAGAAGUUUCAUUAUUUAUAAGAGGCUCCAAAUGGAUAAAACCAAACACAGUAAAACCUUACAAAAGAUCUUAGAAAGUAUUGACACAAUGACAUUUUUGGCAAUUUCUUUAUGAUGAUACCUUGUAGAAAUAGAUCUAGCCAUGAGUACCAAGAAAGUUUUGCUUAGGAAUCGUCCGCCAUUGAGGUUGGAAGCUAUCAGUACUAAUUCUUUGUAUGUAGCAACCCAAUACUUGCUGUGCUGACCCUACUGUAAAGGCAUCUUUGGCUGCAUUCUUACUCCUCCUCCUAUUCAUUUCUGAGCCAACUGAUCCUGCCAUAAAUGCCACCAGAUAAAGUAAGGAUCAUCUUUUUUGUACCUCUGGUCUUCCACAAUUCAGAUCAUCUCACUGAAGGUGCUAUUUUUGUCUUCAAGGUACUUCAAAUCAAUUUGGUGGCCCUUUUGUUGUGGAGCUAUGCAAUGCCUGUGAAAUAUCACUGUCAAGCUUCAUGACUUUAUAAUGUAUUUUUCUAUUUUAAUUUUCCCUACCUUUAUCUGUAAUAAAUUCAAACAUAAAUCCUCA
rnacentral:lncRNA from 1 species